UACGAAGGGGGCGAGCGUUGUUCGGAUUUACUGGGCGUAAAGGGCGCGCAGGCGGCAGACCAAGUCAGGCGUGAAAGCCCCGGGCUUAACCUGGGAGGUGCGUCUGGGACUGGUAUGCUAGAGUUCGGGAGAGGAGAGUGGAAUUCCCAGUGUAGAGGUGAAAUUCGUAGAUAUUGGGAAGAACACCGGUGGCGAAGGCGACGUCCUGGACCGGCAUUGACGCUGAGGCGCGAAAGCCAGGGGAGCAAACGGG
rnacentral:rRNA from 1 species